rnacentral:misc_RNA from 1 species
AUUCCAGUUUAAUGAAAUCAUGCAUCUGUAUGGGUUAAUCUCAUAAUCAUUGAGUUCCAGGAGAAGCUAAAGCCUUAGGGUUAAUAAUAUAAUUGUUGGAGGUUGGUGGCUUGAUUAAAAUAAAUCUGAAAUGAGGUCUUGAGUGGGGGGUUUGUUUGCUAGUGAACAAGCACACACACAUGUAAUCUCUUGAUUAUUGCUAAAUAUCAAUAUAAAAUGAUUCAUUACCCUGAUACAACUCAAAAAUAAUAAGCAUCUGUGUACAUAGGCAUGUCUUAUUUAUAUCUUAUCCAAUGAUAAUUGUAUCGAUCAUUUCAAUGGCUCUAAUAGUUACAUGCCUGUAAGCUUCAGCUAAUCAUCAAUCUUAUAUAUGCAUAAUCUUUAAUUCCUUUGCAGCAUGCAUAGUUCAGGGCAGGG